rnacentral:rRNA from 1 species
AGCGAACGCUGGCGGCAGGCUUAACACAUGCAAGUCGAGCGGGCAUAGCAAUAUGUCAGCGGCAGACGGGUGAGUAACGCGUGGGAACGUACCUUUUGGUUCGGAACAACACAGGGAAACUUGUGCUAAUACCGGAUAAGCCCUUACGGGGAAAGAUUUAUCGCCGCAAGAUCGGCCCGCGUCUGAUUAGCUGGUUGGUGAGGUAAUGGCUCACCAAGGCGACGAUCAGUAGCUGGGCUGAGAGGAUGAUCAGCCACAUUGGGGCUGAGACACGGCCCAAACUCCUACGGGAGGCAGCAGUGGGGAAUAUUGGAAAAUGGGCGCAAGCCUGAUCCAGCCAUGCCGCGUGAGUGAUGAAGGCCCUAGGGUUGUAAAGCUCUUUUGUGCGGGAAGAUAAUGACGGUACCGCAAGAAUAAGCCCCGGCUAACUUCGUG